rnacentral:rRNA from 1 species
AGCCUACGGGGGGCAGCAGUGGGGAAUAUUGCACAAUGGGGGAAACCCUGAUGCAGCGACGCCGCGUGAGCGAUGAAGUAUUUCGGUAUGUAAAGCUCUAUCCGCAGGGAAGAAAAUGACGGUACCUGACUAAGAAGCCCCGGCUAACUACGUGCCAGCAGCCGCGGUAAUACGUAGGGGGCAAGCGUUAUCCGGAUUUACUGGGUGUAAAGGGAGCGUAGACGGCGAUGCAAGCCAGAUGUGAAAGCCCGGGGCUCAACCCCGGGACUGCAGUUGGAACUGUAUAGCUA